UACGAAGGGGGCUAGCGUUGUUCGGAAUUACUGGGCGUAAAGCGCACGCAGGCGGAUUUAUAAGUCAGGGGUGAAAUCCCGGGGCUCAACCUCGGAAUUGCCCUUGAUACUGUCUAUCUUGAGUCCGGGAGAGGUGAGUGGAAUUCCUAGUGUAGAGGUGAAAUUCGUAGAGAUUAGGAAGAACACCAGUGGCGAAGGCGGCUCACUGGCCCGGUACUGACGCUCAUGUGCGAAAGAGUGGGGAGCAAACAGG
rnacentral:rRNA from 1 species